rnacentral:rRNA from 1 species
AUUGAACGCUGGCGGCAUGCCUUACACAUGCCAGUCGAACGGUAACAGGUCUUCGGAUGCUGACGAGUGGCGAACGGGUGAGUAAUACAUCGGAACGUGCCCGAUCGUGGGGGAUAACGGAGCGAAAGCUUUGCUAAUACCGCAUACGAUCUACGGAUGAAAGCAGGGGACCGCAAGGCCUUGCGCGGACGGAGCGGCCGAUGGCAGAUUAGGUAGUUGGUGGGAUAAAAGCUUACCAAGCCGACGAUCUGUAGCUGGUCUGAGAGGACGACCAGCCACACGGGGACUGAGACACGGCCCAGACUCCUACGGGAGGCAGCAGUGGGGAAUUUUGGACAAUGGGCGAAAGCCUGAUCCAGCCAUGCCGCGUGCAGGAUGAAGGCCCUCGGGUUGUAAACUGCUUUUGUACGGAACGAAAAGACUCUUUCUAAUAAAGAGGGUCCAUGACGGUACCGUAAGAAUAAGCACCGGCUAACUACGUG